rnacentral:snRNA from 1 species
GGAAGCCCGCAGCGAUACUGA